rnacentral:tRNA from 1 species
GUCAGUGUGGUGUAGUAGUUUGAGCAUUGGACUUUGAAUCUGGAGACCAGGGUUCGAUUCCCAGCUCAGCCA